rnacentral:rRNA from 1 species
GUGCCAGCAGCCGCGGUAAUACGGAGGGUGCGAGCGUUAAUCGGAAUUACUGGGCGUAAAGCGUGCGUAGGCGGCUGUUUAAGUCAGAUGUGAAAGCCCCGGGCUUAACCUGGGAACGGCAUUUGAUACUGGACAGCUAGAGUUUGGGAGAGGAGAGUGGAAUUUCCGGUGUAGCGGUGAAAUGCGUAGAGAUCGGAAGGAACACCAGUGGCGAAGGCGACUCUCUGGCCCAAAACUGACGCUGGGGUACGAAAGCGUGGGUAGCAAACAGGAUAAGAUACCCUGGUAGUCCACGCCGUAAACGAUGUCAACUAGCCGUUGGUCUUAUUCGUAAGAUUCGUGGCGCAGCUAACGCAUUAAGUUGACCGCCUGGGGAGUACGGCCGCAAGGUUAAAACUCAAAUGAAUUGACGGGGGCCCGCACAAGCGGUGGAGCAUGUGGUUUAAUUCGAUGCAACGCGAAGAACCUUACCUACCCUUGACAUGCAACGAAUC